GAAUGGACCCCUGCCGGAGGGCAAAUUGGUUUGAUCCUCCUUGAAGCAGUAGAUCUGCAGCUGGGGACUCUUUCCUUGAGAUGCCACCCAAGCAAACUCCUCAGUGUUGAGAGCCCUCAUCUUAUAGAGCUUCACAGCUUAUUUGAAGUAGUCACUCAUUACUUCUCCAGCACAGAUGCAGGUUUUACAGCCCCACCUGGGACACCAUUCUGCAAUAUUACAGGCUUACACAAAAUGUCAAGAAAAAUCAAUGGGACAAAAUCAACUUGAAGAUGAAGACGGACAAUUUCCAUUGCAGUAAAAUGAAGUCAUGUAUUCAUACCUGAGAAUAUAAAUUGGCUCACUGAAAAAAAGACCACCAACAUUAUGACUUUGCAUGGACUAUAGAAAGUAAAGUAGAAGCUCUCACUCCUUUUCCAUAUUCCAUCAUUAAGGUUAACAUUCAGGCUCUGUAUCCAGUGCAUAAAAAGAGUUAAUUGGUUAAGAAGGCAAGAAGACUCUACAUGCUGCAAGACUCACCUAGAUGGGACAGUAGGAAUGGAAUUCAUCUGCCUUAUGCCUGAGCUAUCCACCCAUUAUAAUCACUAGAGAGAAAGAGAUACUUUCAGAGGCUAAUUCACCUGUCCUGUCUCAGCAUUUUAUCUUCUGAGAUGAAUCACCCCCUAAAGAUGAAAAUUUCUCUCCUUUGGAUGCAAAGCUUGACUGGAAUGACCUGCUAACUUUUAGACAGUGAAUCAGACAGAGGACACUUGGGCUUAAGGAUAUACUUGGGUUUAAGAAUAUACAUUAUGCUCUCAUGUGGAUACAUAGAAUUCACAGCUUUAAAAGCAGGACAGCAAUUAAUCCUUCUUCUAAAUGGUUUAAACAGAUUAGACUGAUAACUUCCGUUUUGAGUAAUCCAAGGGUCUGCCUCUUCUGUUAAAUAAAAUACUCUCAAGCCUGAAAUGCUGAUCAGAUCCACACAGCAUUUACAAACUAGAUCAGUCCCUUGAUCUUUUCUGGGGUGCUCCAAUGACUCUGCUGUCUCCAGGGGUAAGGUACCAGCCUCAAGGAUUCCUUGUCGUCAUUCUGACUACUUGCUAGUUGAUGAAACAAAAAAAUAAACUUGGAGCUGAUGUAAGGAUGACAAUCCCAUUACUGGAGCCACUUGGAAAGUCCCAGACUGGACUCAGCGAUGGACAGGAACUGAACUCAAAAACCGGAUUCAGGAAGACACAGAUCAGAAUCAAAGGCAGACAGACAGAGUCCUUCUCAGAUGCUAGCCAUUGAAGAAGAGAGGGCUGACCCUUUGAUCCCUCAGCUUUUAUACUGAGGAUGAUGCAGGUGGGAUGGAAUACUCUGUUGGUCAGUUUUGGAUCACCUCUCCUGUCUGCUCCUCCCCAUAGGUGAGAUCCCUCUACGCUUUUCUCCUGCUGACCCUCCAAUGGGGCAAAUAACAAAUUUAGCUGACCUCGGUUGUUAUAGCAAUAAGUAUAAGCAGGAGCCUCUCUGCAUACCAUUCCCUGGUAUUAGCUAUAAACAUCAGACAUUAUCUGCUAGAAGCAGACAUUGUUUGAAAAAUACACCGUUAAUUUCAGAGAGUUAGUUAGUUAGAAGAGACUUAACUGGAAAGUAAAAUUACUGAAAAGACAAUCGGUUCUGUUCUACCACAAACCAGGACAUCUUUGCAUUAGCCCAGCUUAAAGUAGUAUGAAACAUUUUUUCCUCUUUAUUUAGCAUUCCCAGAAGAUUUCUUGUUAUUAAUUUCUUAGUUCAGACUAAUUAGAAUAUAUUUCUCUAACAUCUCUCUGCUUUAGCUCAGCUUGCUUUUCAAUAUUAGCAAGUAGCACGUAUUUCAAUAAUAGUUUGGCCCUAUUAACUACUAUGGCUUCUUUUCAGUUGAGCAACAAUACACCUCUGAUUUAUUCUUUACAUUUUUCUUGUCCUUUUUCUUAAGUUAUAGCAUUUUAUUUCUUUUGUCUAUAUUCAUACGCAGUUCCUCUAGGCUGAGUGUCUUUAUUUUUCUUCCUCUGACAAAGAACUACCCAUAUCAUUUUCUUUUUCAUGUACUUCAUUAAGAACAACUAGUGUUGGCUUUUAAAGCACUAGCAUACAGCAACAAGUAAUUAUAAACAGUCAAGCUGCUUUGCCAAAGGACGGGAAUUGCUCUGUUAAACCAAAGAAAGAGACUAUGAGGGCAACUAGUACUGCAUAAGAAGGUUAUCUGUAAUAUUGCUUGAGAUCACUUCUACUAAAUCAAAGUGCUAGCAUUUUGGAACAAGGCAUUUGGCCUUCUACUUUCUCUGCUUUAUCCUCAAAGAAGAUGAAAACCAUGAAAGAUGAAACCCAGCACUCCUGCUAUGCGUACCGAUAGCUGAUUGCUUGGAAGUACAUCACAUGUCCCAGAAGUCAGACAAGUCAAUUCCAUUUAAUAAAUACUGAUAUGAGCUGAAGCUUUUCACAGAAGCCAUAUAUACUGUCUUUCAAAACAUCCCUCCAUCUCACCUUCAUGCAUUAUCAUCCCAGAUUCCUCAUUAAGAUGUUGAACCCUGCUCUGUUCCUAUUUUUUCUAACUAUCUUUCCUGUCCAUUGACAGCAGUGCCUUUUAAGACUGCAUGGAUAAACUAAACUCCUCCCAAUAAAAGCAGUUUUUGUAAAUUUCACAACUGCUUUGCCAUUUGCCAGUAAGAAUGUGAAAAUCUUCCCUUUAUCUAGUAAUAAUCUUUUGUUGUUUCUUGCUUGUCAUGAACUGCUGUCUUAUUCUGUUGUUCUCCAAGGUUUAGAUCUUAGAAGCAGCUCAGAAGCUCUCCUGAUUCAAAUGACACCGAGAUACAAAGCUCAAUAGAGAGAACUAAACACAGGCUCUGUAAGGCAGUGAUUACAUCAGACUCAGGUCCAACAAUGUUCCUUAUUUCCACACAUUUCCUCCAACAGUUGAAUCGAAGUAUAUGGAUUGGUGGCCCUAAUUGAGCAGGAAGGUUGGACCAAAUUACCUCUAGAGGUUGCUUCCAACUUCAGCUGUUCUAUGAUUCAGGGAUAUACCUGUUUGUUGACUCUGGGUUUGUGUGGCUUGACUAUAAAAAAAAAUCUGUCUUAAAGAAAAAUCAGUGAAAGACAAUCUUCUAGAUGACACUGGAUGAUAAGAAAAUGGGGGGUCUGGUUCUUCAAAGUAAAAAAUACUUCAGAAUAAAUUUCUGGAACAGAGAUGGAUUUUUCCCCUAGCUUGCUUUCUGUUGACAGUAAAUAACUGGUGAGACAUAAUUUUACUGGAGCUUUUGAAUGUGCUUUUCAGCCAGCACGUGAACUGCCUAUUACAAGUGUCCUCUGUAUUGGAACGCUUUCUGAAAAUGACUGGAUUCUUUCAGAAUCUAUUUUUAAGCUUUAUGGGUAUUUGAACUUGUAUCCACUCAGUCCAAUCAAUACCAGUGGGAUAUCCCACAAAACUUCCAAAAUGUGUCAUUCAACUGUGGUACACUCUAAUAAGAAAACUGCAGCAGAAGGCAUUUAAAUCAGUGCUAGCGUGGAAAAGGAGCAAGAGUACUAAAUAAUACUUGAUAUAAUAUGGCUGAUUUAUGGUGGAUUUGUUAAGUAUUUGUAUGAGCUGGUUCCUCUUUUUCUUCUCCAAUCAAAUUUUACCUAAACUGGAAAUAAGCUGGUAUUUUAGAUUUAUUGCUAGCAAAGAAUAAUCUGGGAUACAUGUAAAUAUUCUGUGCCAUUCCUACAAAGCCUGUAAAAUAAAACAGUAAAAACUGCAGAACUUUAAA